AUUGAACGCUGGCGGCAGGCCUAACACAUGCAAGUCGAACGAGUGGCGGACGGGUGAGUAAUGUCUGGGAAACUGCCUGAGGGAGGGGGAUAACUACGGGAAACGGUAGCUAAUACCGAAUAACAGAAGAUAUGCCCAGAUGGGAUUAGCUAGUUGGUGGGGUAACGGCUCACCAAGGCCACGAUCCAUAGCUGGUCUGAGAGGGGGACCAGCCACACUGGAACUGAGACACGGUCCAGACUCCUACGGGAGGCAGCAGUGGGGAAUAUUGCACAAUGGGCGCAAGCCUGAUGCAGCCAUGCCGCGUGUAUGAAGAAGGCCUUCGGGUUGUAAAGUACUUUCAGCGGGGAGGCGUUACCCGCAGAAGAAGCACCGGCUAACUCCGUGCCAGCAGCCGCGGUAAUUC
rnacentral:rRNA from 1 species